UACGAAGGGGGCGAGCGUUGUUCGGAUUUACUGGGCGUAAAGGGCGCGCAGGCGGUCUUGAAAGUCAGGCGUGAAAGCCCCGGGCUUAACCUGGGAAUUGCGCUUGAUACUCUGAGACUGGAGUACGGGAGAGGAGAGUGGAAUUCCCAGUGUAGAGGUGAAGUUCGUAGAUAUUGGGAAGAACACCAGUGGCGAAGGCGGCUCACUGGCCCGGUACUGACGCUCAUGUGCGAAAGCGUGGGGAGCAAACAGG
rnacentral:rRNA from 1 species